GAGAACUUUUGUGUCCAGCUCAGGGAUUGUAAAGGCACCAAUCAGUACCCUGUCAAAACGGACCAAUCAGCUCUCUGUAAAACAGACCAAUUGGCUCUCUGUAAAAUGGACCAAUCAGCAGGAUGUGGGUGGGGCCAGGUAAGAGAAUAAAAGCAGGCUGCCCGAGCCAGCAGCGGUAAUCUGCUGUGGUCUUUUUCCACGGUUUGGAAGCUUUAUUUUUUUGCUCUUUGCAAUAAAUAUUGUUGCUGCUAAUUCUUUGAGUCCACACUGCUUUUGUGAGUUGUAGCACUCACCCGAAGGUUUGCAGCUUCACUCCUGAAGCCAGUGAGACCACGAACCCAACGAGAGGAACGAAGAAUUCCAGACGCGCUGCAUUAAGAGCUGUAACACUCACUGCGAAGGUCUGCAGCUUCACUUUUGAAGCCAGCAAGACCACGAACCCAUCAGAAGGAAGAAACUCCAAACACAUCCGAGCAGCAGAAGGAACAAACUCCGGACACGCUGCCUUUAAGAACUGUGACACUCAGAGCGAGGGUCUGCGGCAUCACAUUUGAAGUCAGUGAGACCAAGAACCCACCGAUUCCGGACGCGAGCAGGUUGCUUCAGGGUAUAGACAUUUGGCACAGUACUGCAGCAUAAACCCAUCAAGAUUAAGGAAACCAUGGGGGCCGAGCAUGGUGGUUCACACCUGUAAUCCCAGCACUUUGGAAGGUUGAGGUUAGAAUUCCAAUGCAGCACUGAGUAGAACUGAGGAUUAUGUAACAUCUUAUUAUGCCUGAUUUUUAAAAGCUAAAUUGAACUCCUGGGCUCAAGCGAUCUUCCCAUCUCUGCCUCCUGAGUAGCUGGGACUACAGAUACAUGCCUGGCUUACUUUUAUUAUUUUAUGCAUCCAUCUUAUAACUAAAAUUAUCCACUUUUAAGUGUUAAAGUUUCUUGCAGGGAAUCAAUUUUCU
rnacentral:lncRNA from 1 species